rnacentral:rRNA from 1 species
AGUGAACGCUGGCGGCGUGCCUAAUACAUGCAAGUCGAACGGAGUGGCGGACGGGUGAGUAAUAUAUAUCUAAUCUGCCCCUUGCUGGAGGACAACAGUUAGAAAUGACUGCUAAUACUCCUUAGAAAGGGAUGAGGCUAUAUCGUAUCAGCUAGUCGGUGGGGUACCGGCCUACCGAGGCGAUGACGCGUAACUGGUCUGAGAAGAUGCUCAUUCACCUUGGAACGGAGACACUGUCUAAACUCCUUCGGGAAGCAGCAGUAGGGAAUAUUGCGCAAUGGGGGAAACCCUGACUCAGCAACGCCGCGUGAAGGAUGACACUUUUCGGAGCGUAAACUCCUUUUGUUAGGGAAGCGGUACCGAACGAAUAAGCACCGGCUAACUCCGUGCCAGCAGCCGCGGUAAUAC